CAGCAGCCGCGGUAAAACGGAGGGUGCAAGCGUUAAUCGGAAUUACUGGGCGUAAAGCGCACGCAGGCGGUCUGUCAAGUCAGAUGUGAAAUCCCCGGGCUUAACCUGGGAACUGCAUUUGUGACUGCAAGGCUAGAGUACGGCAGAGGGGGAUGGAAUUCCGCGUGUAGCAGUGAAAUGCGUAGAUAUGCGGAGGAACACCGAUGGCGAAGGCAAUCCCCUGGGCCUGUACUGACGCUUAUGCACGAAAGCGUGGGGAGCAAACAGGAUUAGAUACCCCAGUAGUCCCUGUCUCUUAUAC
rnacentral:rRNA from 1 species